UGAACAGACGUGAUUACAUGUCGGAGGAGGCACAAACACUGAAGCCACUAAGCCCACCGCUCCUGUAAUGAUUGCGCUGUGAACCGUGCAAGACUGAUGGAGCAUUUGUUAUUUGUUCGUGCCACUUCUCGUGCUCAAAUGGAGACUAGCUCGUGUCUGCUGUCCUAACUGACACAUCUAGACUGCACUUGCAUCGAAGUAUUUGCUUGCUUUUCUCUUACGUUUUGUGCCCCACACAUUUUAUUUCUUAAAGGACACUGAUGAGAAACAUUAAAUCAGUUUAGACUGAUGAAUUAUACUUUCGAAACUCUUGUUUGUGUUACUUUUGCCGUAAUAUAUACGUCAGUUAUUAGAAGAGGAAAUGAAGGUCGAAGUUCCAUUUUAAAAUUUUGCACUGGAAUCCCCUGUGCUGGAUUUAAAUUUUUUUUUUUGUAUUUGGGGCCACUGUGGCUCGGUAAAAGUUCUCGAAACUUGUGAAGUUGACUUUAUGGCUCUUUUAGGACGCAAUGUAGCCCAUCUGUACUGACAAAAAAUUAACUCGGCCCGAGCAGACAGUGUCAGAAUCCAUUGUCGUGGCAAGUUGGUGUGAGAAAGCAGUGUCGCCACCCAUAUUUCAUUCUUGCAUCUUUUCUGGCUGACUGGACCUCCUCUCAGAGGAAGAGUGGCUUUUGUGCUGUGUUUCUGAAGGGUAAUUUACUUCUGCAGCCCAAAAUAUUUUUCUCUUUAGUGUCCCUUUAAGCCUGCACACCAGACUCGUGGAUAGGAUAAAGGAAAGGUAUCUGCAAAUAACCACAUAGCUCUUUCUCUCUCGCUUCUGUGCAUGGCCAACGUUGUUCUAUACCUCGUGCACUGCUCUCCCUUUUCUUUUAUCGCACCCUUUCACACACUGACCUUUUCAAAACCAUUCCUCUUUCACCAAGGCCUCGGUGAAUUGAGGACCCGCUAGCUUGGCAAGGUGGUCAGAAAUUAGGCGUAGUGUAAUAACAGGAGUGCAAGAACAUUAUUGUGAGCUGUCCCUCAUUUUCAUUCCAUGUCAAACUGUUAAAAAAAAAGUGGGAAAACCCUGAUUGAAACACAUUUAGCCAUUCUGACAAGGUGUCAACUACCAUCAACAUGGUAAUCAAAGUGAAUAAGUGUGUUUUUUGUGAAUUUCAAUUUUUCGCCAACCAUGCUGUGCCAGAGCAAAAAGCUCUUGUGAAGUGUAUGUGUUCUCUGUUAUGUUUGUACUGUUUUAAAUCAGUGAGGUGUGUGUUUGGUCUUGGUGCCCAGCAGUGUUGUCUGUUUUCUCUGCUACUGAUGUUGCGUUGCUGUCCUUUAGUUUCUGAUGCAUUUGUUAUUGUGCUUGAUACACUUUAGAAGUGUAAUUUCUUCGUCCUUAGCAGAUGUCGGAUCCAUACGUGAUCAUGAUCAGCGAGUGAUCUUGAUUGGAGGGCUGUCUGAGCCAGGGCAGGCUCCACAGCAGCUCACAAUGUUUGCAAUGUCAAGUGAACUUCUCUCUGGAACUCGCAAAUGCUUGGAAUACACAUUCUGUGACUGGAUAAUCGAUGUGCUGGCGCACUUCAAACUGGCGUGAAUGAGCUGUUGGAGAUAAGUCCAGCCUUAAAAGUAAUCCUAACGGCAGUGACUCCUUUUUAUGCUCAUGCCGAGCAUAGAUUAGCCGAACCUUUUGAUACGCUGACCGAAUGCAUUCCGUCCAUUUUUACUGAAUCUCUCUUUUAUAUGGUAUGUGUAUAUACUAUGUACGGUUUGAAAAUAUAAAAAAUGUGAUUAAGGUGUCCAACACAUUCUGCUCACCUUUUCUAUUGCUACUUUACUGCCACAUUGCCUUAUUUUAAAUUGCAUUGUAUAGUAGCUGCAUCGUGCUGUGUCUUACAGAGGGUCCUUCUGGCUUUUGUUUGACUCUCUGGGUGCUUUUGUACUACAUAGGUUGACUGCACAUCCCUUACACAUUGAUCCUUUUAGAUGUUAUAUAAAUGUUUCUCUCUCCUGUAUGUCAGCUGCACAUCCAUUCAUUUGGAUGAAUAUCAGCUACACAUUCAUCCUUUUAGAUGUAUGUCAGCUGCGGCCCUAAUUUUGGAUGGCAGUGUUAUGAGUGAAUGUUGGUACAUUCAGAGUACACGCUGACGUAAGUUCAGUUUGGUUAGUGGGCACCUGUUGGCGUACUCGGGAGCCAGAAUUUUAGAUGUAGGCAUGUUUUGAUUGAUCUUGCCUUGUGAAUGUCCUCAUGUCACUCGCCUUUGGCUGUGGAAAGGAAAAAAAAACAAAGGGGGUCUGAGCUUACCGAAAGCAUUGUUUGAAUUAGGCAGCUUCAAAGUAUAUAUAUAUAUAUAUAUAUAGUGGACGAACCAAAGUUUGAGAUUUCUUCCAAUUAACCCAAAAUUUUAGACUGUAGGGUGUUGACUGUAGUUUUAACUUCUUGUCUCUGACAAAAGGCUACUGCUUGCUUUGCUUAUGGUAGCAAUGACAAGCACUAUGACAUAACCUGGUGCCUGCAAGCAACUCUUCUGUGCUUAAGCCUUAAGUUUCAAUUUGGCAUUGCUCAAGGCAUUGGCCAAGGUACUUUUCCUGCAUUUUCUGCAAGGAGGGAUACAAGCGUCAGCAGUAUUUCUAAUGCCAGGUUACAACGCAUCUUGUCUUAUAGCGUUUACAAUACACAUCGAUUCAUUGGGGUGAAAAAAUGAAAGAAUAGUGGUAGUGCUGUUACACAGUCAGCAAUAACGGUGCCACCUUGCAUGCUUACCAUUUCUGGCUGUGCCGACUGGAAGUCAUGUGUGCUCCUCACAAUGAUUCCUCAUUAGUCGUUUAUUUUUUGUGCAGUGAGGGUCUUUUACGGCCGUUCACGUACCACAAUCUUGGCUCAUGUAUCCUUUCAUGAGGAGAUGAAGCUACAUUUUUGGUUGAAAUGCCUUGUGUUGGCUAGUUAGGUGGAGUUUUUCUCUUCCACAAAUGGCUAGAUUGCGACUGGCAACCUGCACUGUCAAAUCUGCCAGGUACAACUGCUGGAGGCAUGUUUGGUUUGUGUUAAGCGCAUGAACAGUUCUACAUCCUGCCUGUUCAUUCCUUGUGUGCCGACAUUGAGCUAUCCCAUAUUGUCGUGCUUGUUGUCAUAAAAAAAUAUUGUCCCUUCAAUCUUGUGCUUGUAGUUUCCUGCUUUGUCACGUAAUAAGCAUAGUUAAUAUUUUAGUACUCUAUGCAGUCUAGUGAAAGCAACAGUUAUGCAAUAACCUGUGGGAAGUUACCGAGAAAAGAGGGUGUGCCAGUGUUUUCUUGCUAAUCCAUUAGUGAUACUCAUUCAUCUAGUGGUGUGUACAUGGGAAUUGGCAAUGGACACUGGAAGGAUCAUAGAAUCAUUAAUGGCAGACAGUGGGCAAGCCCUUCUUUGUUUUGAGAUAUGCAGCAAAUUCUCAUUCCUAAUUGGCUGGUGAGACAAGUAUAGAUAGCGCAUACGGGCACUGCUGCUGGAUUUUGUGACAUUUUGCUUCCUGUCGGCACCUGUAGGGCAUCGUUGCAACAGCACUUGCACACGUGUAGUGGAGGAUGCACUUUGUCCAUGCAGCUUAUGCUGCCCAUUUUUUCACGAGCCCAAAUUACCUCCACCUGCUGCAUUUUUCUACUAUAUGCAUUUCAAUCCUUUUCUCCUGCUUCACUUGGAUUGUUUGCAGUGCCUCUCAUGGCAAAAGCGACAUUUCAAGUUUGUGUUUUUAAACUGCCAAGUGAUAUUGCUUGGAUAUGUUAAUAUUGAGUGAUGAGCAGACUGGCAGUAUUUACAUUUGACCAAGUGUGUGAAGUGUACCAAAGCACUUCUGGUUUUUACUUGGCUAGAGUUGAAUGAAUAAGAGUUCUUCCGGCUGCUCCACAUAGCAAGAUAUUUACUUUCGGCUGCACUUUGACUGGUAAUUUCUGUGAUGUGGGUGUAACACAUUAUGGUUGUAGCAGUUCUUUUUUUUUUUUUGCAUUGUUGCACUUCUUUGAUCGUGUGUCAUAACAGCUGCUGUGACUGGCAUUUGUUACACAAAGCCUGCAGUAUAAAACAUGGCAGUCCGAACA
rnacentral:lncRNA from 1 species